UUCUUUACACAGAUAUAUAUUUGCUCUUUGGAUCAAGCAGAUCACUUUCUUAAGGCAGUUCCUCGGACAAGCAGAGGAAAAUUUGCAUCAAGAUGUCUCCCGUGAAUCAAAAGGACCCACAACCUGGGGACCUGAUAGAAAUCUUUCAUGAUUUAUACAAGCAUUGGGCUGUAUACGUUGGGGAUGGCUUUGUUGUUCACAUGACACUAAAUGGAUCCAGUGCAACAAGCAGCAGCAGCAGCAGUGGCAGCAGCAGCGGGGCUGCGUUAAUUACAAAAGCUAUGGUGAAGUACGAAGAACUGAAAGCUGUUGUUGGAGAUGCCAAAUGGGAAAUCAACAAUUUAAUGGACGGCCGGCGCCGACCCCGGGACGCCAGGAUCAUCGUGGCAAAAGCUCUCCAGCUGGUGGGCUCCGAGCCACAGUACAAUUUAAUUUCGAAUAACUGUGAACACUUCGCUACAGGGUUGCGCUACGGCAUAAGUCUAUCUAGACAGGUAGUUGAAGCAAUCCAAGCGGUGUUGAACCCUGUAGGUGCUAUCAUUGGUUGGUUUCUAAGGCCAUGAAAAAAGGUUGCUGACAAGGCCAAACUAAAACACCAUAGAUAAGAGUAUGUGAUAUUAACACAAUUUAAACCAAAUGUUUAAUGACAAACUUGUGAUUCACUUUGUCAGCGUACUUUUUAAUACGUUAUCUUUCAAUAUGGUUAUUACUUAAUUAAAGGAAUUAUUACUCA